rnacentral:rRNA from 5 species
CCAGUGAUAAACUGGAGGAAGGUGGGGAUGACGUCAAGUCAUCAUGGCCCUUACGACCAGGGCUACACACGUGCUACAAUGGCGCAUACAAAGAGAAGCGACCUCGCGAGAGCAAGCGGACCUCAUAAAGUGCGUCGUAGUCCGGAUUGGAGUCUGCAACUCGACUCCAUGAAGUCGGAAUCGCUAGUAAUCGUGGAUCAGAAUGCCACGGUGAAUACGUUCCCGGGCCUUGUACACACCGCCCGUCACACCAUGGGAGUGGGUUGCAAAAGAAGUAGGUAGCUUAACCUUCGGGAGGGCGCUUACCACUUUGUGAUUCAUGACUGGGGUGAAGUCGUAACAAGGUAACCGUAGGGGAACCUGCGGUUGGA